GACGAACGCUGGCGGCGUGCUUAACACAUGCAAGUCGAACGGAAAGGCCCUGCUUUUGUGGGGUGCUCGAGUGGCGAACGGGUGAGUAACACGUGAGUAACCUGCCCUUGACUUUGGGAUAACUUCAGGAAACUGGGGCUAAUACCGGAUAGGAGCUCCUGCUGCAUGGUGGGGGUUGGAAAGUUUCGGCGGUUGGGGAUGGACUCGCGGCUUAUCAGCUUGUUGGUGGGGUAGUGGCUUACCAAGGCUUUGACGGGUAGCCGGCCUGAGAGGGUGACCGGCCACAUUGGGACGGAGAUACGGCCCAGACUCCUACGGGAGGCAGCAGUGGGGAAUAUUGCACAAGGGGCGGAAGCCUGAUGCAGCAACGCCGCGUGCGGGAUGACGGCCUUCGGGUUGUAAACCGCUUUCGCCUGUGACGAAGCGUGAGUGACGGUAAUGGGUAAAGAAGCACCGGCUAACUACGU
rnacentral:rRNA from 1 species